AGUGAAGAAGAAGAAGCCAAAAAAAAUUGUUUUCUCAGUGUUGAUGAGUUUGAAACUCAGUGCUGAGCCAGAUGUGUUUGAUCCGAAGGUGUGCGAAAAAGAAUUUAAGAAUGCUUGCUUACAAAAUCACAUUUCAAAAUCUGACCUGCUAUUCUUCAUGGUUGUACACA